rnacentral:rRNA from 1 species
AACGAACGCUGGCGGCAUGCCUAACACAUGCAAGUCGAACGAGACCUUCGGGUCUAGUGGCGCACGGGUGCGUAACGCGUGGGAACCUGCCCUUAGGUUCGGAAUAACUCCCCGAAAGGGGUGCUAAUACCGGAUAAUGUCUUCGGACCAAAGAUUUAUCGCCUUUGGAUGGGCCCGCGUUGGAUUAGCUAGUUGGUAGGGUAAAAGCCUACCAAGGCGACGAUCCAUAGCUGGUCUGAGAGGAUGAUCAACCACACUGGGACUGAGACACGGCCCAGACUCCUACGGGAGGCAGCAGUGGGGAAUAUUGGACAAUGGGCGAAAGCCUGAUCCAGCAAUGCCGCGUGAGUGAUGAAGGCCUUAGGGUUGUAAAGCUCUUUUACCCGGGAUGAUAAUGACAGGACCGGGAGAAUAAGCUCCGGCGAACUCCGU